rnacentral:lncRNA from 7 species
AAAAAAAUCACUGCAAAACCAGCACAAUGCAUGCAAUUAAGUGCCAUUAACAUUCCAUUAACUAUUUUUAAUGAACUGAAUCCGUCCCAGAUUGGUGAACAAUGGACUUUGCAUAGUUCACUGCAGAAGUUGCUUACGCUGUAGGCUUGUGUCAAGGGGAGAUCUGCUUAUCCCUGCUAGGCUUGUUUCAGUGGCUCUCUUAAAAUGCUGUGGCAAAGCUCUGCUUUUCCUUCCUUGGCAUGGGCUUUUAAGAACAUGAGAGCAGCUCAGAUUAGCCCAGACUAAAGGUUAAUCUAGCCUGCUCUCUAGUCUUGAAUGACCAGAUCUACAGGAUGCUGAUGUAGAGGAUGUAAGCCAGCUCACCACUGAAGCAUCUCCAGCUGCUGUCCCUUAGCCCACUACCAAACAGCCAAUGCUGAGCACCCUGGGAUGCUGGACAUGCAGGUUGCUCAUCCCCAAAAAAUGGGAAAAGAAAAAAAAAAAGAGAGAAAAAAAAGCACAAGCGUGCAUUCAGUAUGGUGGUACUCAGGCACUGCAGACUCACACCAGAGAAGCCUUUGCUGGGAAUAUUUCAAAGCUGUAAAGAAGAAAUUAACACUGACACGUACCAGAGUGGAAUUCAAAGGUGAAAGAGGAGAGCAAUAGCUGCAGUGCCAUCCCAUGGCUUUCAAGAGGAUGCUGCCUACAGGAGAGCUGGCUUGGAUCACAUGGGGAAAAGCACAGUAACUCCAGGGUGAGCCUCAUUACCUCCUUGCUCUUAAUCCGUUUAGACAGAAAGCCCAGCUGCUGGUGACUCAGGAAAUAAUGAUUCAUAAUGGAAAUGGACCUCACACCCAAAAGGGGUUUGAGGCUGUGUCUUCACAAUGCCCACAUUGGGGACUAAAAUGCUUGUCGAGGAGACGCGUAUCUGGACACAGUGGGAAAAACUUGUUGGGGCCUGUGAGCUAUUUUAAGGGUUCAGUAUUGUUCAUCUCGCUGAUAAUUUGAACGUCAAGCUGCUUGACACCUUGUGGAUUUUUUAAUCUCUUAAAAUAGGUUUUAAGGUGCUACCUUUUCCACUGAUCAGCGCACAAACUGGUGCUGCAUUAACAUAAUAAAAUAAUGUUCUUCAGC